rnacentral:lncRNA from 1 species
AUGUUGAGUGUUACACUUCUCAGAAGAGACAGGGGAAAGGAAGGAGAAGGACUCGAGAGACAACAGUUUAGAGCACAUGACCAAGGAAGGAUCUUUAAGCCAGAAGCUCACCACAGCCACCUUGGAUGGCAAACUCCGAUUGUUUCUACCCUGAUACUUGCCAACCUGUGGAGCUUUGGCCAUGGAAGUUCCUCAAGCUGUUCUCAAAGUUUUUCUGUUGUACAGUCUGUUACAUUUAUUGCAAAAAUAAGGGUGAAAGACCACAAAAAGGAGGAGACUAUUCAUUCUGACUUCAUUCUAGCAAAUCACUACAGAAGUGGCUUCCAAAGUUCUUCUUGGGUUCUUUUAGCUAAAUGCUGGUAUGCUAAACCCGCAAAUUAUCAGCAAGAUUUAUUUAAUUUUCACCGCAGUGAUCCUCAGGAUGGUCUUCUUCAACCUUAA